GAUCCCGUGGUCCAGUGGCGAAGACGCCUGGAUGACACCCAGGAAAUCGCUGGUUCGAUUCCAGCCGGGAUCA
rnacentral:tRNA from 1 species